rnacentral:rRNA from 1 species
GAUGAACGCUGGCGGCGUGCCUAAUACAUGCAAGUCGAACGCAUUGUGGUUGAAAUGAUAUGAAGAACUUGUUCAGAUUUGAUUUUCAACAUUGCAAUGAGUGGCGAACGGGUGAGUAACACGUGGGAAACCUACCUCUUAGCAGGGGAUAACAUUUGGAAACAAAUGCUAAUACCGUAUAAUAAAUAAAACCGCAUGGUUUUAGUUUAAAAGAUGGUCUUGCUAUCACUAAGAGAUGGUCCCGCGGUGUAUUAGUUAGUUGGUGAGGUAAUGGCUCACCAAGACAAUGAUACAUAACCGAGUUGAGAGACUGACCGGCCACAAUGGGACUGAGACACGGCCCAUACUCCUACGGGAGGCAGCAGUAGGGAAUC